rnacentral:rRNA from 1 species
GAUAUGGGUCAGGAUGAACGCUAGCUACAGGCUUAACACAUGCAAGUCGAGGGGCAGCAUUUUAGUUUGCUUGCAAACUAAAGAUGGCGACCGGCGCACGGGUGAGUAACACGUAUCCAACCUGCCGAUAACUCAGGGAUAGCCUUUCGAAAGAAAGAUUAAUACCUGAUGGCAUAGGAUUAUCGCAUGAUAAUCCUAUUAAAGAAUUUCGGUUAUCGAUGGGGAUGCGUUCCAUUAGG